UAGAUACCCUAUUAUAAAAAUUUAAAUUAAUUUACUAAAAAAUUAAUAGUUAAGUUCUUUAAAUUUAAAAAAUUUGGCGGUAUUUUAGUCUUAUUAGAGGAACCUGUUUAUUAAUUGAUAAUCCACGAUUAAUUUUACUUAUUUUAAUUAAUUCAUAUAUCGCUGUCAUGAAUAUAUUUAAAAAUUUAUUUUCUUUUUUUAUUUUUAUAAUUUAUGUUAAGUCAAGAUGUGGUUUAUAAAUAAGAAUAUAAUGGGUUACAUUAAAUUUUAUUUUUGGAUUUUAAAUGAAAAUUAAAAUGAAAUUGGAUUUAAUAGUAAAUUUAUUUA
rnacentral:rRNA from 1 species